ensembl:lncRNA
AACGUUACCAGACACAGUCUAUAGACAAAACACAUCAGUUAGCAGGCUAGUUAGCUUGCUGUCUGCUGUGAUGUUUUUGACCAUUGCAAGCCAGUUUUGAUGACUUUUACUUGGUUAGUUCGCUAGUUUUAGACUAAAGGCUGCUUAAACUAAUUAAGCCCUCAAUGACACUGCUACAAUCUAUUUGAGCAUAAUUGCAAUAGGGCCCAUGUCACAAUUAUGUAAUAAAAAAAGUGACUGACUGACCGUAUAUGUGUAUGUCUUUAUACAGUUAACAUUUAAAAUCGAAUUUUCACCUCUGGUGUGUAUGCCCCACAGUUCUCCCUACACACGUGUGAUGUCUGCGGAGUUCGUCAAACCCUGCAGGUUUUUAUUUCCCAGUGUGCUGUGUGUGUCCUUGUAGUUGUUUUUAAAUGAAUAGAUUUUAUGUUAAGCAUGAAAAUAAAUUCACAAAGAUAUCACAGUUACCAUUUAUAUUCUGAAGUUAUCUGACAACCAGGUAUCAUUCCUUUCUAAUUUAGUGUGCUGACAAGUCUGAGAACCUAUUGCUCAUUUGAGUCCUUGCAUCCUCCCCCUCCCUUCACACUUUUACUCAUUCAUUCAACUCUGAGAAUCUGCCCUAAUCAAGUCAGUCACUUCUAAGUUGGCAUGCACUGGCCCGACCCACAGCCUUAAUGCACCUCGGAUGAUUCUGAAUGAGAGCAACCUGUCUUUGUUGUCUGUGAAAUUCCUCACAGUGAGCGGCUUGUGUUUGACACAUCGCUAAUGUAUCAUAUCGACAUUUUGCUGUAAUAGUAUGUCAACGUGUUCUAGAUCCCCGCUGGCUCUGGGCAAUCUGUGGCUGUAAACAUCCCUGAUUGGAAGCUGUGUCUCGCAUUCUUUGGCUUUCAGUCAGAUGUUUGCGGCUGCCGGUGGCUUGUUUUACCUCGUGGAUACAACAGUCCCCACCGCCUGCUGUGCUCCGUAGCCACAGUGCAUCCUCCCUUUGAAAUGCUAACCAAGUUUUUUGAGUGGUUGUGCUGUGUCUUGGGUUUGUUGUUGCAGCUCUUUUUUUAUAUAUAUAUAUAAAUUGUUGUUCCUUCAAACAACUUCAGCUAUUUUUGUCAUACAGCGCUUUGUUUGUUCCUCAACAAUGGCCUUAUCUCUACCAUAAUAGGUCUCAUCGCUGCCAUACUAAAUUUAUCUUAGGUAGACUUUUUUCAAUUUAAAGUGUUUAACCAUUCAGCAAUUUCAAUAGUAAAACUGUAAUAAAUGUCAUAGUACUUGAUGUUAUAAUGCUCCAGGAAGUCAGUAUUCUUUCUCAACAGUCAAUGUAGUGUUCCGGUUCUUGUUGUGGAGAUUCUAUUGUAGAAUUAUUGUAAUUGUCAUAUUAUAGAUGGGAUGUCAUAGGGCCAGAGACUGUACAGUCAUGUGACAUUAGCAGGUGUUAAAAUAUGUUUACACAGACAGAGCAUGUCUGUUGUAGCAGUGUGAUGGGUUGACGAUGAACUUUGCUUAGAGGAGUCGUACAGCGGAAGAACCCACCUGUUUUCAAAUCCGCGAGGACAUUUUGCCAAUGAAAGUCAUUUAUUCAAAUUUAACAGAUGAGGUAUUAGUCUUAUCCUCUGUCAGUUGGUGUCAUGAUCAUGUAUGUAUAGAUAUACAUACACAUUUUUCAGAAAACAUAAAUGUUUGCAUACACAAGACAACAGAAGGAACUGGGAGUUGAGUAAAUGUAAACACCCUACACUCGGCUGUGACUUGGCACAGUGGCUGGGCGAGGGCUGUUUACUUUCACUGGCUCGACGAAGCUCACAUGACACACAGUAUUUCUGCAUCUCAGAGCCAAGAAGUAUGACUGUGAAACUGUGAAACUGAAUGCCAUUUGCUGAAAAUGACCCCAUCAAAAUGAUGACUGGUAAUGCAGCUCACAUCAGUGGCGUAAACAGACUGCCUAUAACCAGAUAGUUUGUGUGAUCUCUCCAUACGAAAAUUAGCCACGUUUUGGCGUUCAAAAGUGGCCACUCCGUUUCAAUAAAAUGACACAUUGGACAAGGUCUGGAGAAAGUUUCCGUUGGCUUUCUUUUCCCAAAUCCAUGUCAAUUGGGUUUUAGCACGUACUGUUCACAUUCUUCCACGUCUUUGACAGACAAAUAUUCAUUGCUGACUUGCUGCAUCCAGUGACAUUACAGUUUUGUCUUCAACUAGUUUAGUAAAUGCAUUCAUAGACCCUGGUUGCUGGUCAUUACAAGCUGUAUCUCAAACCUUGUUACUGCUAAUCUGUGUUUCUUCCUUCGUGGCAUGUGCUGAAUGGCCGUGUGUUAAUAAACAAUAAAGGAAAUUCAGUUGAACAGAGUACAGUUGCUGUGUUUUAUUAUUUAUAUCCUCUCGUAAGUAGCCUGUGGUGUAAGUGAAAUGCUUUGUUCCUCGUGAGUGUUGGCCCUCAUAGUCUAAGAUUAGCUGUUUCAUUAAGUGUGCAUGGCAUCCAUUAGCUGUUUCAUUAAGUGUGCAUGGCAUCCAUUAGGUGUUUCAUUAAGUGUGCAUGGCAUCCAUUAGGUGUUUCAUUAAGUGUGCAUGGCAUCCAUUGGAUUUCCAGCAGCUUGUUCUUGCCCUCUGGAGUUCUACUUCCAGAGUUGCUCUAACUGCUGCUUACUGUUGCUCAGCUCUUAAUGUUGUAGCUCCAUAAAAUCUACUAUAAAAUACUAUAGAAAAAGUACUAUAAGCUAAUGCAGUACUAACAUAGAUGCAUUACUUUAGUACUUAAUGCAGUACUAAGUACUAUAGAAAAAGUAGUACAAGCUAAUGCAAUACUAACAUAGAUGCAGUACUUUAGUACAUAAUGCAGCUUAUGCAAUACUAAAAUAGAAUAUAUGUAAUAAAAACUAUUAGGCAAUGAAUCUGUUUAACGGUGACUGUUUUUGAGGCAACUCUUCUGACACUCAUUACCCACUUCUAUGGAAACUAUAUGCAUGUUUGCACAUGAGUCCUCUACCACUAGAUGUCACCACUAGACAGUUAUUCUAUCCCUAGGUCCAAGACUUCAGAUGUAUUGAUCAGAUCUAGGUAAAGGUGAAUGGUUUAGAACAUUUUCCCCAACAUUUUAAUUUCAUCGGAAAUAUACAAUCUAUUGCAUUUUACAUUUAGUCAUUUCGCAGAUGCUUUUGUCCAAAGCGACGUACAAGGGAGCGAC